AUUGAACGCUGGCGGCAUGCCUUACACAUGCAAGUCGAACGGCAGCACGGGUGCUUGCACCUGGUGGCGAGUGGCGAACGGGUGAGUAAUACAUCGGAACAUGUCCUGUAGUGGGGGAUAGCCCGGCGAAAGCCGGAUUAAUACCGCAUACGAUCCACGGAUGAAAGCGGGGGACCUUCGGGCCUCGCGCUAUAGGGUUGGCCGAUGGCUGAUUAGCUAGUUGGUGGGGUAAAGGCCUACCAAGGCGACGAUCAGUAGCUGGUCUGAGAGGACGACCAGCCACACUGGGACUGAGACACGGCCCAGACUCCUACGGGAGGCAGCAGUGGGGAAUUUUGGACAAUGGGCGAAAGCCUGAUCCAGCAAUGCCGCGUGUGUGAAGAAGGCCUUCGGGUUGUAAAGCACUUUUGUCCGGAAAGAAAUCCUUGGCUCUAAUACAGUCGGGGGAUGACGGUACCGGAAGAAUAAGCACCGGCUAACUACGU
rnacentral:rRNA from 1 species